rnacentral:rRNA from 1 species
ACGGGGACCCGCACAAGCGGUGGAUGAUGUGGAUUAAUCGAUGCAACGCGAAGAACCUUACGUACCCUUGACAUGUCCGGAACUUGCCAGAGAUGGCUUGGUGCCCGAAAGGGAAUCGGAACACAGGUGCUGCAUGGCUGUCGUCAGCUCGUGUCGUGAGAUGUUGGGUUAAGUCCCGCAACGAGCGCAACCCUUAUCAUUAGUUGCUACGCAAGGGCACUCUAAUGAGACUGCCGGUGACAAACCGGAGGAAGGUGGGGAUGACGUCAAGUCCUCAUGGCCCUUAUGGGUAGGGCUUCACACGUCAUACAAUGGUCGGUACAGAGGGUUGCCAAGCCGCGAGGCGGAGCCAAUCCCACAAAGCCGAUCGUAGUCCGGAUUGUUCUCUGCAACUCGAGAGCAUGAAGUCGGAAUCGCUAGUAAUCGCAGGUCAGCAUACUGCGGUGAAUACGUUCCCGGGUCUU